CCUACGGGAGGCAGCAGUGAGGAAUAUUGGUCAAUGGCCGGAAGGCUGAACCAGCCAAGUCGCGUGAGGGAAUAAGGCCCUAUGGGUCGUAAACCUCUUUUGUCAGGGAGCAAAGGCGUCCACGUGUGGACGAGAGGAGAGUACCUGAAGAAAAAGCAUCGGCUAACUCCGUGCCAGCAGCCGCGGUAAUACGGAGGAUGCGAGCGUUAUCCGGAUUUAUUGGGUUUAAAGGGUGCGUAGGCGGAGUGUCAAGUCAGCGGUAAAAUGUCCGGGCUCAACCCGGGCCGGCCGUUGAAACUGGGGAU
rnacentral:rRNA from 1 species